rnacentral:rRNA from 1 species
AGCAGCCGCGGUAAUUCCAGCUCCAAUAGCGUAUAUUAAAGUUGUUGCAGUUAAAAAGCUCGUAGUUGAAUUUCGGGGUUAGUAGGUUGGUCAUGCCUCUGGUAUGUACUGGUCUCACUGAUUCCUCCUUCCUGAUGAACCUUAAUGCCAUUAAUUUGGUGUUUUGGGGAAUUUGGACUGUUACUUUGAAAAAUUGAGUGUUUAAAGCAAGCUAACGCUUGAAUACAUUAGCAUGGAAUAAUGAAAUAGGACGUUCGAUCCUAUUUUGUUGGUUUCUAGGAUUGACGUAAUGAUUAAUAGGGAUAGUUGGGGGCAUUAGUAUUCAAUUGUCAGAGGUGAAAUUCUUGGAUUUAUUGAAGACUAACUACUGCGAAAGCAUUUGCCAAGGAUGUUUUCAUUAAUCAAGAACGAAAGUUAGGGGAUCGAAGACGAUCAGAUACCGUCGUAGUC